GGAGGUGCCGCGCGCUCGCGGCCCGUUCUCGCUAGCAGGAAGCCUGGCACGUUCCGUUCGGACUGUCGUUCGGCUUCUUGCUGACAUGAUGUCAGCGGGACACGCUGCUGAACUGGACCCUUCCUUUCUUGUUGGCGGACAGAUGUGGCAUGGGUCCUCCCUGCACGGUCUCCUUCUCAGCUCCUCGUGAAAAUCAAACGUGGGGGCCGUCCAGUGAUUUGGCUGCUCUGGUCCCGCGGUCUUCCUGCAGGCUCUUGGAGAUGCUCACACGAUGGUGCUAAUUGUUCAAGACUCCUUGCAGCAGUGUCCCGAUUCCAUAAUAAACUGAACCAGGGAUCCCA